UACGUAGGGCGCAAGCGUUGUCCGGAAUUAUUGGGCGUAAAGAGCUCGUAGGCGGCUUGUCACGUCGGGUGUGAAAGCCCUGGGCUCAACCUAGGAAGUGCACUCGAAACUGCUUCGCUUGAGUAUCGGAGAGGAAAGCGGAAUUCUCGGUGUAGAGGUGAAAUUCGUAGAUAUCGAGAGGAACACCGGUGGCGAAGGCGGCUUUCUGGACGGUUACUGACGCUGAGACGCGAAAGCGUGGGGAGCAAACAGG
rnacentral:rRNA from 1 species